rnacentral:sRNA from 1 species
CACCGCCUGGGGAGUACGACCGCAAGGUUAAAACUCAAAUGAAUUGACGGGGACCCGCACAAGUAGUGGAGCAUGUGGUUUAAUUCGAAGAUACGCGCAGAACCUUACCAACACUUGACAUGUUCGUCGCGACUCUAAGAGAUUAGAGUUUUCGGUUCGGCCGGACGAAACACAGGUGCUGCAUGGCUGUCGUCAGCUCGUGUCGUGAGAUGUUGGGUUAAGUCCCGCAACGAGCGCAACCCUCACUUUUAGUUGCCAUCAUUUAGUUGGGCACUCUGAAAGAACUGCCAGUGAUAAGCUGGAGGAAGGUGGGGAUGACGUCAAGUCCUCAUGGCCCUUACGUGUUGGGCUACACACGUGCUACAAUGGUAUUUACAACAGGAAGCAAAACGGCGACGUUAAGCAAAUCCUCAAAAGAUACCUCAGUUCGGAUUGCACUCUGCAACUCGAGUGCAUGAAGCUGGAAUUACUAGUAAUCGUGGAUCAGCGUGCCACGGUGAAUGCGUUCCCGGGUCUUGUACACACCGCCCGUCACACCAUGGGAGUUGGUUCUACCUUAAGGCAAGGUUUUAAGCCCUUGACCACGGUAUAGUCAGCGACUGGGGUGAAGUCGUAACAAGGUAGCCGUAGGGGAACCUGCGGCUGGAUUACCUCCUUCCUAAGGAUGAAUGAGAGUAAAAUUUCAUUCUAAAUAAUAAACAGGUUAAUGUUGACCGUCCUCAUUUCUCUUCUUAAAGCAGUGUUUCUCUUGCAUGGGGGCCGGUAGCUCAGUUGGUUAGAGCACACCCUUGAUAAGGGUGGGGUCGGAAGUUCGAGUCUUUCUCGGCCCACCAAUUUAAAUUCAUGGGGGAUUAGCUCAGCUGGGAGAGCGCCUGAUUUGCAUUCAGGAGGUCAGCGGUUCGAUCCCGCUAUCCUCCACCAGAAACACUUAGUUAUAAAAAUUGUAAAUAAAACAAUAAUUAAUAUCAAUAUCUAUAUCCGAACAUUAGUAGUUUAAUAGACUAAUGUUCAAAAUAAAAAUUUGAUUCAACACAGAAUUUUUUUCUG